GAGCGCGCAAAAGGGCAUUUCGCACGCGCGUGAACUGGGUUUUGCAGAGAAAUGUUCGUCUCGCAAAUAAAAAAAAUAAGAGAGAGAGCGCACGCAAACAGAGACAAGUCGUACUCAAGCCUUUCUGAUUAGUUGCGUUUUGGUUAGUAAAUGUUGAUCAUGCGCAGAUGUCAGCAAAUGGAAUAGCAAAUUCGGAAUAAAUAGGACUACGUGUCUCGUCACUGUGGUUAUUUAUAGCUGUAAAAGUGAAAGUGUUUUUGUAUGGAUCUCGCUCCGCUGUUGUUCAGUUUUCCUUGUUCCUGGAAACGUUUAUUUUUGCGCAAGUAGUUUUUCAUUUCAAUAUUCUUGCUGUGUGGACUGACUGCUAAGAAGAAUUUGGUUAGAAUGAUGCAGCCUACUUGUCUCUAUUGCAAUGUAUAUUUACAGUUGACAGCAAUCUCAUUUAGUUAGGCCUGUACACAGAAGUGUGAGCCGACAGAAACGAUUAUCGAAUGUAAAUUGUAUUUAAAACCUAUUUAAACGCUGUGAAAGGCAUUUGUGAGAAUUUUUUUUCUUCUUUUAGCAAACAAAUCUAACACUAAAACUACGGCGCUUCUAUUCUUGCGUCUCGUCCUCGGAGUCGGAAACUCAAAAGUGAGACUGAAAAAGAAUGGAUUCAGUAGGAGUGAAUGUAAUUGAAACUGCUGCUUUGGGGAGACCCUUCCAACUGGGUAUGCUGUAUGACUGCAGAAAAGAUGCACUAAUACCAGGUACCAAAACACACACACACAUUCACACACAUUGUGUUUUCAUGUUUUAUGGGGACUUUACAUACACAUAAUGAUUUUAUGAAAUUAUUAUUUUUUUUAUCCCCAACCCUAAAGCUACCCCUAAACCUACCCAUCACAGAAAACUUUCUGCAUUUUUACAUUUUCCAAAAACAUAAUUUAGUAGGGCUGGGUAAAAAAUAUCGAUUUCUCGAUUUUAAUCGAUUCUCAUUUUUACGAACCGAUAUCGAUUCUUAAAUCCGCGUUAAGAAUCGAUAUCGAAAAGCAGUAGGCGAGAGAAUGAGUAUGUCAGAAUCCUUAGUAUUCAAAAAAGAGUAGGCGAGAAUUACCUGGGUGAUGUCUGAUUCUCGCGAGAUUCAGACAUGCAUCUACUUAAAGUGCGUCCGAAACCGCCUACUUCUCUACUAUAUAGUAGGGGAAAAGCAGUAGGAGAGCGAAUAAGUAUGUCCGAAACCUCAGUAGGCGAGAAGUUCCCGGAUGUCCUACUGCUUCCGCCCAGAUUCUGAAGUGUUCCUCGAUGGAUACUUUUCUGUCCCAGGAGGCCACGGGAGAGGAUACGUCAUAAUCGAAAAAGGAGGAGAAAAGCGACGCGGAUGCUUUCAAAUGUGAGUAAACACGGUUCCUUGUGUUAAAAUCGCAUUUGUAGAGUAAACUGUUGAAGUGUUGAAGGUGUAAAGACGCUAGACAGUAUAGUAUAGUUGUGAUUUUGCUGUAAAAACACGUUUUAUUAUGUACAGAUAACGGGAGCUUCAGUAAACAUACGUUCGUCUCCAAAGUGGAUUUACAUGAAUUCUAAACCAUAUACAUGCUUACUAAAUGUUUAUUUAACAUCUGACAGGAAAAUCCAAGUUUGUUUUGCUGGUUUCUGUUCAUACUAUGGAGCCCAACUUUCAUAAGCUUCAAAAGCAUCAUAAAAUAAUGUCAUGAAGCUUCUGGAAGUCAGGUUCCAUUGACUGAUAUUGUAUGAACAGCAUGAACCAGCAGGACAAACUCACCUUUUGUGUUCUGAAAAAAAAAAAAAAAAAAAAAAAAAUGAACACAGCAUGAAGGUGAGUAAAUAAUGACUGAAUUUACAUGUUUGUGUGAACUAAACCUUUAUGCCCCCAAAUAGAAAUUGUAUGAAAUGUAUGUAUGCAUUUAUAUUAUAGUAGUACCUUGAAAAAGUAAGAAAUAAGCAGCUUUAUUGAGUGUUUGUGACCAAGACACUAACAAAAAAGGAUUUACAAAAAUCAAAUUUACAUUUGGCAGAUGCUGUUAUCCAAAGUGACUUACAGUGCUCUUAUUACAGGGAAGAUCCCCAUGGACCAACCUGGAGUGAAGUGUCUUGAUCAAGGACACACUGGUGGUGACGACUGUGGAGAUCGAACCAGCAACCUUCUGCUUACCAGCUCAGUGAUUUAGCCCACUACACCACAAAAGUAGUCUUGCUCAUGGAGAGCACACAAAUGUUUGGAGCAGACACAGCAGCAGUCAGAUUGUCCCGCACAUCUUCUCCCAUUCUUGCUUCAAGGUUGUGGGGUUCAGGGGUCCAUCAUCAUCAUCUUCCUCAUCCUCUGGAUCAACGAUGUCCCCAUUGAGAAGAGCAGCAGUGAGGGACAUGAUGGAUGGCAAAGACAGGUGAAGGUGUUCACGGUGGUCAGCUGCUUCAUCAAAAUAAAGCUGCAGAAUGGGCACAGCUGUAAUGAGAUGGCAGUAGGAUGUGGGGAUCACCGCCUGCAAAUACAUGAUUGUUAGAACAAUAAGUUUGAAUAAAGCUUUGUUUCAUGUGUUAUUUACUUGUAUACGCAUUUAUUUAUUGUCAUUGUUACUUUUAUUAAUUCUUUUACUUUUUUUUUAUUAAUUAUGCUAUUAUUAUCAGUAAAUUUAUAUAUAUAUAUUUUAUUACUUCAUGCAUUAAUUCAUUGCUUGACUGUAAAUUGAGAUGUAUUCACAUCAGCUGUAUUUGUCUAGUGUGUAUUCAUGCACAGCUAUGUCAUAUGAUAAAACAUUACAUUUAGCUUGUUUUACUAAAGAAGUAAAAUGAAAA